UACGUAGGGGGCAAGCGUUGUCCGGAUUUAUUGGGCGUAAAGAGCGUGUAGGCGGCCAGACAGGUCCGUUGUGAAAACUCGAGGCUCAACCUCGAGAUGUCGAUGGAAACCGUCUGGCUAGAGUCCGGAAGAGGAGUGUGGAAUUCCUGGUGUAGCGGUGAAAUGCGCAGAUAUCAGGAAGAACACCUAUGGCGAAGGCAGCACUCUGGGACGGUACUGACGCUGAGACGCGAAGGCCAGGGGAGCAAACGGG
rnacentral:rRNA from 1 species